rnacentral:rRNA from 1 species
UACCAGCACCCCGAGUGGUCGGGACGUUUAUUGGGCCUAAAGCAUCCGUAGCCGGUUCUACAAGUCUUCCGUUAAAUCCACCUGCUUAACAGAUGGGCUGCGGAAGAUACUAUAGAGCUAGGAGGCGGGAGAGGCAAGCGGUACUCGAUGGGUAGGGGUAAAAUCCGUUGAUCCAUUGAAGACCACCAGUGGCGAAGGCGGCUUGCCAGAACGCGCUCGACGGUGAGGGAUGAAAGCUGGGGGAGCCAACCGG